rnacentral:rRNA from 1 species
UACAGAGGUCUCAAGCGUUGUUCGGAUUCAUUGGGCGUAAAGGGUGCGUAGGCGGCGCGGUAAGUCGGGUGUGAAAUCUCGGAGCUUAACUCCGAAACUGCAUUCGAUACUGCCGUGCUUGAGGACUGGAGAGGAGACUGGAAUUUACGGUGUAGCGGUGAAAUGCGUAGAUAUCAGGAGGAACACCGAUGGCGAAGGCAGCUCGCUGGGACGGUACUGACGCUGAGGCGCGAAAGCGUGGGGAGCGAACAGG